GCAUGUGUGGAAUAUUAUAUAUAUUGUUAUUUCCCCAUUUGUAGUGAGAAACAUGUAAAUCUUUGCACACCUCUUCAUUUCUUCUACUACGGUACAUAAGUUAUUGUUAAAAAUAAUGACUUUUUACUGCCAUACUCUAUAAUUAAAUGCCAAUCAUCUGGCCAAAGGUUAUUAAAAUGAUCGAGUGAGUUAACGUAGCUUCUCCUUGCGAGUAUCAUGAAACUUAUCACUUCGGGUUUGGAAAUGUUCAAAAAAUUUGAGCAUCAGCUAUUUACGUAACAACCAAGCAAAUAAUCGCUACUUCACGGACAUAAACAUACAUCAUUCAAGUGUGCUGUGAAAAUGAGGCUUUUUACAGAGACCAGUAUCCACCAUGUACGGAUAAAUAGUCGUAAAGUUUAUGUUCAAGUUCUUUCCCUUAGAGUAUUCUCGAAGUUCUUCGCUGAGGGCUUCCAUGAAACCUGUACGAUAUUAAAUAA